GAAAUGCGAUAAGUAAUGUGAAUUGCAGAAGUCAGUGAAUCAUCGAAUCUUUGAACACACAUUGCGCCCGCCAGUAUUCUAGCGGGCAUGCCUGUUCGAGCGUCAUUUCAACCAUCAAGCCCCCGGGCUUGUGAUAGGGACCUGCAGCCGCCGCAGGCCCCAAAAAGCAGUAGCGGGCUCGCUGUCACCCCGAGCGUAGUAGCAAUCACCUCGCUCAGGGCGUGCUGUAGGCACCGGCCGUUAAAACACACGUACCAACGUAUACCCCCAAGGUUAACCUCGGAUCAGGUAGGAAUACCCGCUGAACUUAA
rnacentral:misc_RNA from 1 species